UAAAGUCCAAAAGUCUCAGGGAAGCAAAGUAACUUUGUUAACAACCAACCCGACGAAUUUAAACUAAUAUAACAGUUAAAUUAACACAACCGAAUAGAGUAGACAACAUUAAAAUGAAUAAAAAUGCUGAACAAGAAAAAGAACCGAACAACAUCAAAAUUACCCAAAUAAAAUGAAAUUCCUAAAUCAAAAUGAUAAUGAGACAUUGCAUCUUGCAACACCUUGGAAUAAUAAUAACAAUAAAAAAAAAAAAAACUAACGCU
rnacentral:lncRNA from 1 species